GCCUACGGGGGGCAGCAGUAAGGAAUAUUGGUCAAUGGACGAAAGUCUGAACCAGCCAUGCCGCGUGGAGGAUGAAGGUCCUCUGGAUUGUAAACUUCUUUUAUAUGGGACGAAAAAAGGGUUUUCUAACUCGUCUGACGGUACCAUAUGAAUAAGCACCGGCUAACUCCGUGCCAGCAGCCGCGGUAAUACGGAGGGUGCAAGCGUUAUCCGGAUUCACUGGGUUUAAAGGGUGCGUAGGUGGGUUGGUAAGUCAGUGGUGAAAUCUCCGAGCUUAACUUGGAAACUGCCAUUGAUACUAUCAGUCUUGAAUAUUGUGGAGGUCAGCGGAAUAUGUCAUGUAGCGGUGAAAUGCUUAGAUAUGACAUAGAACACCAAUUGCGAAGGCAGCUGGCUACACAUCUAUUGACACUGAGGCACGAAAGCGUGGGGAUCAAACAGGAUUAGAUACCCCGGUAGC
rnacentral:rRNA from 1 species